rnacentral:pre_miRNA from 1 species
UUUGGCACUUAAGGAAUUGUCACUAGUGUUCUUUUUAAAGUUCGGUGACAAUACUAAAGAGUCAAGCG